rnacentral:rRNA from 1 species
GACAAACGCUGGCGGCAUGCCUAACACAUGCAAGUCGAACGGACAGAACAGGGAAGCUUUUCGGAGUGGAACUGGAAAGUUAGUGGCGGAUGGGUGAGUAACGCGUGGACAACCUACCUUGUAAAGGGGAAUAACCUCGAGAAAUCGAAGCUAAUAUCCCAUAAUAACUUUGCUUCGCAUGAAGUAAGGAGGAAAGGCGGCCUUAGCGCUGUUGAUAGAAGAUGGGUCCGCGUCUGAUUAGCUAGUUGGUGAGGUAAAGGCUUACCAAGGCGACGAUCAGUAGCCGACCUGAGAGGGUGAUCGGCCACAUUGGAACUGAGACACAGCCCAAACUCCUACGGGAGGCAGCAGUGGGGAAUCUUCCGCAAUGGGCGAAAGCCUGACGGAGCAAUGCCGCGUGAGUGAAGAAGGCCUUCGGGUUGUAAAACUCUGUCCUUAUCGAAGAGAGAGUGUUGUAGUAACUGACAAUACUAGGACGGUAGAUGAGGAGGAAGCCCCGGCUAACUAUGUG